GACGAACGCUGGCGGCGUGCUUAACACAUGCAAGUCGAACGGAAAGGCCCUGCUUUUGUGGGGUGCUCGAGUGGCGAACGGGUGAGUAACACGUGAGUAACCUGCCCUUGACUUUGGGAUAACUUCAGGAAACUGGGGCUAAUACCGGAUAGGAGCUCCUGCUGCAUGGUGGGGGUUGGAAAGUUUCGGCGGUUGGGGAUGGACUCGCGGCUUAUCAGCUUGUUGGUGGGGUAGUGGCUUACCAAGGCUUUGACGGGUAGCCGGCCUGAGAGGGUGACCGGCCACAUUGGGACUGAGAUACGGCCCAGACUCCUACGGGAGGCAGCAGUGGGGAAUAUUGCACAAUGGGCGGAGGCCUGAUGCAGCAACGCCGCGUGCGGGAUGACGGCCUUCGGGUUGUAAACCGCUUUCGCCUGUGACGAAGCGUGAGUGACGGUAAUGGGUAAAGAAGCACCGGCUAACUACGU
rnacentral:rRNA from 1 species